CUAGAGAGGCAUAUUUGUUAAACCAGUUAAAAUUUUCUUCAAGCCAUGUUAGUGAAAAUAGGAGGAGAAAAGCAAUUCAUUGCAUUUGCAUCGAAGUAGCAACAAUAAGAAAGCUUUGUUCUCGGAAAGGAGGCUUGAGUAGCAUUAAACUUAACCAAAAGAAACCAAGUUUAUCUUGAGAGAAGCAAACAUCUGAAUAUGGACAUUGACAGAUCAGCAACAAACUCAAGCAAACAUCACUAUCACACAAUCAAACAAGCAUCGUGGUUAGCCAUCUCAAGUUACACGUGUAACAUUUUAUGAAGACUCAGAGCAAUGUUACCU
rnacentral:lncRNA from 1 species